AACGUCGGUGUGCGGGACUAACGUGAAUCAAGUCUAAUCCACUGCUUUUGUCUGCCUUGAAACCGGAAGUAGAAGAAGCCUUUCUAAACAUGGCGGCUGUGUUGAGGGAGGAUCGCUGUGAACUUUCUAGAGAGUUGGUGUAUAAGUAUUUUAGACCUUGCAGAGUAUGUGGAAGCAGGACCUGCAGGACCCCGAGCAUGUAGCGUGUAAAGCAGAGGAAUUUAUUGAAGUUGUUGGAGUCAUUUCCGCACUUUCCGACCAAGAUGUUGACCGUAGAGUGAUUGCCAAUUUAGAAGAAGUACUCCGCCGCUUUUCUGGUACCAGGGCGCAACAGGAGCACAAACAGGGACCAGGGCGUUUGGCAUACCGAGGGAAGUUCUGGAACAUCACGUUCUUUGUGGAUUACCAGCCUGUCAAAUUGCAGCGAUGCUCGGAGUGUCGAGGGCUCUUCCUUUAGGACCUACUCGGCGCGGCACGGCUCCGCUCGUCUUUGUUUAGCCGCGAUUCCACAAGCAUCUACUCGGCACGGUACGGCUCGUCUCAUCUUUGUUUGCGAGCGUUUCCAUACGGACUAGUGCCUGGUACCAGGCACUAUUUUCAGCACCUUCUCGGCUGAGGUUCCCAGCGAGCUGAGAUGAGCCGAUAAUGUGGCGUUUACAUAGUGCAGGCCACUGAUUGGACAGGGAGUGACGACACAGAGCAACUCCAGCACGAAAACAAAACCCUGCAUUAAAAACAACUGUAAUCAGCGACGGUGUGCAUUGCUCUUCACGGAACUCUCUGUUCUUCAUAAUUUUAAUACGACAGCCAGACCUGUACCGUGGGUGAAUGAAGAGGUCGAGACUUUUCUGUCUUUGGUAGCGGACCAAAGAAUACAGAGGGAGCUGGACGGAGAAAGUUUAUCAGGAGGUCUCUGAGCGGAUGGCCACCCACGUAUACAGUAGACUGUAUAUAAAGAGGACAGAAGCAGUGUAGGGAGAAGCUGAAAAAGCUCAAAAGUAACUAUCGGUCCACCAAGGACCACAACGGCCGGCGUGGGUCAACCAGGAGGUGUUGGAAGAGGUUUAAUGGAAGCUAUUUACUGGCACCGCACCGUCAGCAACAGGAGGGAGACUCAGCUGCUGCAUUGUUGGAGACGUUCGAGGACGAAUCCCUUUCCACAUGCGUAGCCUACGCCAUCUCCGUCGCGGAGCCCCCAGCUCCCCUGCCUCCUCUCCAGCACCAGCUUCAGCACCAGUACCAGCUCGGACACCGACCCUGUCAACAUCAACCUCCAGCACGUCACAGCAACGUCUUAUCACCGGCAAGAGGAAAGGGGCCACAGAAAAUUGGACCUUCCAGGCGUACUUGUGGAGAUGCAGGCUGAGGAGGAGUGGAGUCAUGCCCGGCAUGAUGACAACAUCUGGUUGCUCCUCAGUGAGGCAAGAGAGAAUGAAGCGGCCUUGCAGUGGGAGGAGAUGGCCCAGAAUGCUGCCUUCAACCAGUCAUUCCUGGGUGUGCUGGGGCAGCUGGUGCAGGCAGUGCUGGGUGUGCUGGGGUAGCUGGGGCAGGCAGUGGGCAGCCGGCGAGUGUGAGCGAGUCCACCUCCCGUAGACUUGAGAUUUACAAGUGCUGGUCAUAUAAUUAGAAUAUCAUGAAAAAGCUCAUCUUUUGGACAACUGUCAGGUCAGCAGUCUUCCUCAUGAUUGUGUAGCCUACAGAACUAGACUGAAAAGACCAUUUAAAGGCCUUUGCAGGUGUUUUGCGUUAAUUAGCUGAUUAGAGGUGUCUUCAGUAUUGAACCUUUCCACAAUAUUCUAAUUUUCUGAGAUACCAAAUUUGGGAUUUUCGUUAUUAUUCAGGUAUAAUCAUCAAAGUUAAGAGAAACAUUUGAAAUAUAUCAGUCUCUGUGUAAUGAAUGAGUAUAAUAUACAAGUUUCUCUUUUUGAAUGGAAUUACUGAAAUAAAUCAACUUUUUCAUGAUAUUCUAAUUAUAUGACCAGCACCUGUAGUUGUAUAAAGUUUUACUUUUAGCCCUCCACUGUAGGAGAGGCCCACCACAGUUUGUACUUUGCACAUUGUAAAUAGUUUUGAUUUUGCUGCUGACUAAUAAACUAUUUUGUGAC
ensembl:lncRNA